UACGGAGGGUGCGAGCGUUAAUCGGAAUCACUGGGCGUAAAGCGCACGUAGGCGGCGCAUCAAGUCAGGCGUGAAAGCCCUCGGCUCAACC
rnacentral:rRNA from 1 species